rnacentral:rRNA from 1 species
ACCAAGGAGUCUAACACGUGCGCGAGUCGCAGGGUUGUACGAAACCCGAGGGCGUAACGAAAGUGAACGAGAUCUUCGGAUCUAUCGGGUGGGAUCCCGGAGCUCUAGGGCGACGGGCGCACCACCGGCCUGUCUCGGCCGCAGCGCCGGCGAGGCGGAGCAAGAGCGUACGCGUUGGGACCCGAAAGAUGGUGAACUAUGCCUGAGCAGGAUGAAGCCAGAAGAAAUUCUGGUGGAGGUCCGCAGCGAUUCUGACGUGCAAAUCGAUCGUCAAACUUGGGUAUAGGGGCGAAAGACUAAUCG